UACGGGGGGGGGCAAGCGUUGUUCGGAAUUACUGGGCGUAAAGCGUGCGCAGGCGGCCAUGCAAGACAGAUGUGAAAUCCCCGGGCUCAACCUGGGAACUGCAUUUGUGACUGCAUGGCUAGAGUACGGUAGAGGGGGGAUGGAAUUCCGCGUGUAGCAGUGAAAUGCGUAGAUAUGCGGAGGAACACCGAUGGCGAAGGCAAUCCCCCUGGACCUGUACUGACGCUCAUGCACGAAAGCGUGGGGAGCAAACAGG
rnacentral:rRNA from 1 species